CCUACGGGUGGCAGCAGUCGAGAAUCAUUCACAAUGGGGGAAACCCUGAUGGUGCGACGCCGCGUGGGGGAAUGAAGGUCUUCGGAUUGUAAACCCCUGUCAUGUGGGCGCAGAUUAAAAAGAUAGUACCACAAGAGGAAGCGACGGCUAACUCUGUGCCAGCAGCCGCGGUAAUACGGAGGUCUCAAGCGUUGUUCGGAAUCACUGGGGGUAAAGCGUGCGUAGGCUGUUGCGUAAGUCGGGUGUGAAAGGCGAGGGCUCAACCCGCGGACGGCACAUGAUACUGCGAGACUAGAGUAAUGGAGGGGGAACCGGAAUUCUCGGUGUAGCAGUGAAAUGCGUAGAUAUCGAGAGGAACACUCGUGGCGAAGGCGGGUUCCUGGACAUUAACUGACGCUGAGGCACGAAGGCCAGGGGAGCGAAAGGGAUUAGAUACCCGUGUAGUC
rnacentral:rRNA from 1 species